rnacentral:rRNA from 1 species
UACGGAAGGUGCGAGCGUUAAUCGGAAUUACUGGGCGUAAAGCGCACGUAGGUGGUUUUAUAAGUCGGAUGUGAAAGCCCCGGGCUUAACCUGGGAAUUGCAUCUGAUACUGUAUGACUAGAGUAUGCUAGAGGGAAGUGGAAUUCCAGGUGUAGCGGUGAAAUGCGUAGAUAUCUGGAGGAACACCGGUGGCGAAGGCGGCAUCCUGGACCGACACUGACGCUGAGGAGCGAAAGCCAGGGGAGCAAACGGG